UACAGAGGGCUCAAGCGUUGUUCGGAUUCACUGGGCGUAAAGGGUGUGUAGGUGGCGCCGUUAGUCGGGGGUGAAAUUUCGGAGCUUAACUCCGAAACUGCAUUCGAUACUGCGGUGCUUGAGGACUGGAGAGGAGACUGGAAUUCAUGGUGUAGCAGUGAAAUGCGUAGAGAUCAUGAGGAAGACCAGUGGCGAAGGCGGGUCUCUGGACAGUUCCUGACGCUGAGACACGAAGGCCAGGGGAGCAAACGGG
rnacentral:rRNA from 1 species